AGCGGCUGGAAUACGCCCUACGUAGGGUGCGCCCUCGUGGGCCCGUCCCGCGUGGCUUGCUCACGUCCACACGAUUUGAAUUACAAGGGCAGUAGUGUAAUUGCAAAGCUAACUUUCGUUAUCAGUAAAAUGGCUGCCGUUAGUGUAGAAAGCCGAGGGUAUUAAUGUAAUAUGCGAAACAAGCGCGUGAGGUACAUAUAUGGGUUUCAGAUUAGGGCUGUUCUCAGUUUUCACGUUCUCACGCACCCUCGACGCCUCCAAACUCCAAACCGAAGUCGACCCAAAAAAACCGUAGAUCUGCAAAUGUUGGUGUUGAAGAUGGAACAGCUAUUGGGCUUGACGAAUGAGCAUGGAAAUCGAGAAGAUUGAUAGAAAAAGGCGAGAUCGUCUAGGGUCGGCCAUUGGCGUCCAUCGGAAGACCUCAGAUCUGCCAUAGCCCCCUUCAAUUUCUAUCUGAUUGUUUGUGUAGCAGACUAGCAGGCAAGGUGACGAUGGCAAUAAGCUAUUGUGGCUGGACAGGGUGACCGGAAGGGUUUGCAUGUCGAUUUCUGCAAAGGCCAUGGCUAUAACAGGGAUUGAGGAUCGGCGAUACUCGAACUGGAUUGCUACUGAAGAAUCAAGGAGUCAAAAAGUGGUAUGAACCAGAAUGGUGGAAGUUUGGUGAUAAAAAAUCGCAAGUUGUACUUCAACUUAUUUCAUCAUUUAAUUGAAAGUAGAUUAUAUCCUGAUCACUUGUAACUUCUUAUCAAAGAAUUAUAAUCAAAUUAUCUGGUGAGUUGUUCUGCUGAGUUCCUAAUAGCCAAUAUUUUCUUAUCAGGUUUAUGUUUUGUCAAUGGCUGAUAGUAUUUUUGAAAUGCAUGUUUAUAAGUUAAACCAUUUUGUGUUGUUUGUUAGAGAGAUUUGUUUUUAGUUUUGUUUUCUUUCUCGUCUCUUCACUAAAACUUGUGUUCAUUUAUUUGUCUACAGCUCCUAUCAUCAUUAGUUUUGUCAAGGAACAAGCACUACAAAAAAAGAAUUUAUGUAAUUGAUAUUUUCACCAUGCUUCAUGUGAGAUGUAUGACAUUUCUCAAGGUCUGGCCAAAUUUGUUUGAAUAAAUAGAGAUAUUCUCCGUAUCAGUGUCGGAUCUUGGUUUAUUGGGCUUGAUGUUAAACAUCUUAAUGACGCCAAGUUUUGCUGCUCCUCUUGGACAGGAGGAGCCAUUUGUGCUGGUGUAUGAUUUGAUUUGCUUUGAGGUGGUGGAUCAAAGUAAAACCAGAUGCAGGGAGAUGGUUUAAAAGACAUUGGAUUCAUAUCGGUGAGAUGUUUGCAGCCUGCACAAUAUAGAGUAUGAAGAUUGAGGAAAAAUCAUAGCUGUGAUUGAGAAUUUAUUCCAAGUGUCUUAACUGUAGGUGAAGUAGCUUUGUUCCCAUUACAGUACACUGCAGAUAGGAAAGAAGGGAUUUGAACAAACUAUGCCUAGAGAGGGCAGUCGGUAUAGCUUUAUAUGUUCAGUAACACAAAUUUUAGUGUAACUGAACACAAAUUUUAGUGUAAUAGAGGGUGUUCUUAUUGCAACAUAAUCACAUUUCUUUUGUAGCA